rnacentral:lncRNA from 1 species
UCCACUGGACCCCUGGGCAAAACUCUCGAGCCUCAGUGGGGGACCCCAUCUGACACCCUUAGGGGAAGAGGCAGUGAGUUGAUGCUCCAGGAUCCCCAGCCACUCAAGCCUUGGGAGCUGGGCAACCACUCCUGCUGACUCAUGCGGGACUGAACUUCCCUCAUGUGGUCACCAUAUCCAAGCCCCGGCAGCCAGGAGGAGGAGAGGCGCACCUCCAACAGCGAGAGCUCAGAAAGGUGAGCAAGAGAGGCACCCUCAUCCCUAAUGGGCACCUUGGGCACAGAGGCCACUUGGCAGGUGACCCCCUUCCCCAUGAGCUGUGGCUGAGCUGACACCAACACUGGAGC